rnacentral:tRNA from 1 species
GCCGCCGUGGCGCAACGGCAGCGCAGCGGACUUUUAAUCCGAUGGUUGUGGGUUCGACUCCCACCGGCGGCACCA